GCUCCAAGGCGACGGCGAGUAUUCCCGAUUCAAUCAAUCGGGGCGGCGAACCCUGCUUCAGCGUGUUCCAGUGCUCGGCGAGCAUCCUUGAAGAUACGCACCUGAAACUACGAAGUGAGAGGGAGGCGCUGAUGUCCUUCCUUCCACAGCACAGGUCAGCGCACGCAAGUUCUCACCUUUGGGCGGCAGGUUUUAUGCACUUUCGUUCGUCUCCGAUGGAAAAUGGUUAACUGCCACGGCACAGGUCAGCAAACAUAGCACUCGAGGUGCAAACGCACAACCCUAACACCCACUAUUAUCAGUCUCGGAUGUAUGGUCUUUUUCCCAUUGAGUUGAUCAUCUGUAUAAGACCUAGGUAACUGCUAAAGGUAAAAACAAUAUUCUACAUAGUGCAAUUCCAGGUCAACAUCAAACGUACCAUAGUUUUGGUAUUUCUCUGAGAAGUUAUAUAGAAGGCUUCACAAUGGCGUCGUAUUUCAUUCAUUUCAGAUGUCCCAUAUGCCUGGAAAGGAAAUAGCAGAGAGUUUUCCCCCCUCUUGGUGACAACUCUAAUGUUGAUCAUCAUUCCCGAAUGACUCCAGUGCAAAUGCCAGCCUCACACGACCUUACCCCGUAUGGAUCUCACUGCGGAAGGGUAAAUCUUUCUAGCAACACCAACAUAGCAAGGAAAAAGAAACGAUCAAUGCGAAAAAUGCCAGUCGGUGCCAUCUUAGCGGCAUCUCCACUAUCGAUCAUCUCCCCAAAUGGAGUCCAAGUAUAAUCGCACGACACAACCAAAAGGGCAAUUCUUAAUGUCUAAUGUCUGGAGCCUCACACGACCUUACCCCGUAUGGAUCUCACUGCGAAAGGGUAAAUCUUGCUAGCAAUACCAACAUAGCAAGGAAAAAGAAAUGAUCAAUGCAAAAAAUGCCAAUCGAUGCCAUCUUAGCAGCAUCUCCACUAUCGAUCAACUCCCCAAAUGGAGUCCAGUAAAGAUUGUUCCACAUGAACUAUCAGAGACCGCGACAUCUGACCGUAACAGGACCUCAUCAACAGAAAAAGGGGCAUUCUAAACAGAAAAAGGAGAAAAAAGAAAAGGAAAGUACAUCACUCCCAGCCUGACGGACUG